UACGUAGGGGGCAAGCGUUGUCCGGAAUCAUUGGGCGUAAAGCGCGUGUAGGCGGCCUUGUACGUCCGCUCUGAAAGCCCGGGGCUCAACCCCGGGAGGCGGAUGGAUACUGCAAGGCUCGAGUACGGAAGAGGCGAGUGGAAUUCCCGGUGUAGCGGUGAAAUGCGCAGAUAUCGGGAGGAACACCAAUGGCGAAGGCAGCUCGCUGGGACGUUGCUGACGCUGAGACGCGAAAGCGUGGGGAGCAAACAGG
rnacentral:rRNA from 1 species